rnacentral:rRNA from 1 species
CCUGGAAACGGGGUCUAAUACCGGAUACGACCACCGACCGCAUGGUCUGGUGGUGGAAAGCUCCGGCGGUGAAGGAUGAGCCCGCGGCCUAUCAGCUUGUUGGUGGGGUGAUGGCCUACCAAGGCGACGACGGGUAGCCGGCCUGAGAGGGCGACCGGCCACACUGGGACUGAGACACGGCCCAGACUCCUACGGGAGGCAGCAGUGGGGAAUAUUGCACAAUGGGCGAAAGCCUGAUGCAGCGACGCCGCGUGAGGGAUGACGGCCUUCGGGUUGUAAACCUCUUUCAGCAGGGAAGAAGCGAGAGUGACGGUACCUGCAGAAGAAGCGCCGGCUAACUACGUGCCAGCAGCCGCGGUAAUACGUAGGGCGCAAGCGUUGUCCGGAAUUAUUGGGCGUAAAGAGCUCGUAGGCGGCUUGUCACGUCGGAUGUGAAAGCCCGGGGCUUAACCCCGGGUCUGCAUUCGAUACGGGCAGGCUAGAGUUCGGUAGGGGAGAUCGGAAUUCCUGGUGUAGCGGUGAAAUGCGCAGAUAUCAGGAGGAACACCGGUGGCGAAGGCGGAUCUCUGGGCCGAUACUGACGCUGAGGAGCGAAAGCGUGGGGAGCGAACAGGAUUAGAUACCCUGGUAGUCCACGCCGUAAACGUUGGGAACUAGGUGUGGGCGACAUUCCACGUCGUCCGUGCCGCAGCUAACGCAUUAAGUUCCCCGCCUGGGGAGUACGGCCGCAAGGCUAAAACUCAAAGGAAUUGACGG